ACGGCUCAGUAACACGUGGCUAACCUGCCCUUGGGACGAGAACAACCCCGGGAAACUGGGGAUAAUCCUCGAUAGGUGAAGAACUCUGGAAUGAGUCUUUGCUUAAAAGGCGUUGGAUCAUGCUUUCAGCGUCGCCCAAGGAUGGGGCCGCGACCGAUCAGGUUGUUGGUGAGGUAAUGGCCCACCAAGCCUUUUACCGGUGCGGGCCGUGAGAGCGGGAGCCCGGAGAUGGGCACUGAGACAAGGGCCCAGGUCCUACGGGGCGCAGCAGUCGCGAAAACUUUGCAAUACACGAAAGUGUGACAGGGUCAUCCCGAGUGCCGACCGCUGAGGUUGGCUUUUACCCAGUCUAGAAAGCUGGGGGAAUAAGGAGAGGGCAAGUCUGGUGUCAGCCGCCGCGGUAAUACCAGCUCUCCGAGUGGUGUGGACGUUUAUUGGGCCUAAAGCAUCCGUAGCUGGCUGAACAAGUCCCCUGUUAAACCCACCGAUUUAAUCGUUGGUCUGCGGGGGAUACUGCUCGGCUAGGGGACGAGAGAGGCAGACGGUAUUCCCGGGGUAGGGGUGAAAUCCUAUAAUCCCGAGGAGACCACCAGUGGCGAAGGCUGUCUGCUAGAACGCGCCCGACGGUGAGGGAUGAAAGCUGGGGGAGCGAACCGGAUUAGAUACCCGGGUAGUCCCAGCUGUAAACGAUGCAGACUAGGUGUUUGGACGGCCACGUGCCGUUCUAGUGCCGCAGGGAAG
rnacentral:rRNA from 1 species